CUUUGCGGGCAGUCGUUACGGUCAGAUGGUCUUCGGGAAGAAUUAGUUUGAAACGUGAACAGGAGUUCCACAUAAUUUACUACAGAAAAACUUUCACCGGAAAUAUAACAAAUGAGUUGUGUUCUGUUAAGUUCUACAUCAGAUACGUGGAAAUAUGAUUAUAUUAACACAACCAGAAAUGCGCCUAUUAAUAGAAUCGUCUACGUCAAGUCUUGAUAUACAAAAAGCUUAUCCCAACAAUUUCUAAUGGACAGCCAUCGAUUUCCCAACACCUAUAGACCGGACGCGAAAGCUGAUAAAAGUCUUGACGUGAUGAGUCAUAUGGAAAUCUUAAUCUAAUUUCAACGGGGUAAAAGGACGAUUCAACGUUUGAAGGGAAUCAUAAUUUCUGUAAGGACGAAUGGCACCUGGAAAGUGUGCAAGUGCAAUGAACCGGAAGCCUCUGUUCUGAUAAUGUCUCGUAAUGGAUUGGACGCAUUGAACGAUUCAACAGCAUGAGAGAUACCGGAAAGGAAAAAGGGAGGAGUGAAGUGAGCAGGAAAGUGUAGAAAUGCCCAGCAGAUUCUGCGAAUGCAGAUAUUAGUUUUUAUGAAAUUGUAGAACUGGAGCUCAUCGGUCGAUGCGAGUUGCAGGGCCUUAAAUAUGGACACAUUUCAAUUUUUUUAAUGCGAUUUUUCAGUUGCUUUGAUGGGUGGUUAUUUUUCUGAAUUGAGUGUUCUUUAGUUUUUACUUUUAACGUGUAGCCCAAUAGGAUACAGUCAAUCCGAAAUAUUUUCAGUUCAAUUAUUUGAUGAUAUUUAGAGAUAUUGGAGACAAGCAUGUAAUUAUUAUUAUUUUAAGUUUUUUUUUUUUCAAUUCAUAUAAUAGGAAAAUUAAUAUUAUCCAUUUUGGGUGUUUUCUUUUAUAUAAUUCGGCGAUAGUGUAUUGUUCACUUAAGUGAACUUAUUUCUACUGAAAUUGAAAUUUCUACUGAAAUUGAUGUCGUUCCUAGAACUAAGUGACUUACUAUAACCAUCGAAUUGCACAAAAGUUCUUUCGGGCGCGGGGGAUACCCUCUUGAUAAAAUGAAUAAUGAGUAAAGACUAUACUACCCAACUGAAAUACAUUUUUGUUUGAAUAAAAAAAGUUAAGGCUGAAAAAGGCAUGGAUAGAUAAAUCUGUUUAAUUGAUUCAAAAUUGAAAUAUCGUCGUGAGGAAACCAGCGAGACUCCUCACCUUCAAGUGAAAUAAACAAGCAACAUAGAAAAAUUAGAUUUAUAUCCAAUUUUAUCCAAUUUUUCACGAAAACACCCCUUUCAUUCUAAAGGUAUAUAAUUGGUACGAUUAUAACUAAUAAUACAUAACACACAACUUUG